CCCCCGACCCUCCCGGUCUCAAAGGCGACCCUGACCCCCCAGACCUCCGGGAGAUAGUGGACCCCCACUGGACCCUGACCUCCGACCCUGACCCCCAGGCGACCUCUGGGAGGCAGUGGACCCCACUGGACCCUGACCUCCGACCCUGACCUUUGAACCUGACCCCCUGACCUCCGGGAGGCAGUGGACCCCCACUGGACCCUGACCCCCCCCCCCCAGGUUAUCGGGGCUCAGGACGGCGUCGGCACAAUUUAUGCUUUUAGUGAAUUUAACAAAAUCCUUGAUUGCGUUUUUAUGAAUGACUUUAUUAAUGAAUAGUGUUUUCUACACAGCAGCAGCCGCUGGCCCCUAUCUGCGUGUUUUCUGACGAACAAACCCAAAGGAGAUUUUUUUAAAUGGAACAUUUCGAGGAUCUUCUCUUGUAAAAGGCGGCCUCCAUUUGGACUCUUCUUCUUCUUACCUUCGGUGUACCAGCAACUGACCUCAGCGUUUUCAAAUAAGGUUUUUUAAGUUUUUCAAUGUUUGAAAAAAGCAAACUAGCAAGACACGGACAUCGAUCUGUGUGUGAGUCGAGGCGCCGCCGUUAUGAAUGUGCACACAAAGCCCCCAGCCUCCUGACAUACUCAGUGACGGACCUCCACUGCGGCAGGAACCCUGACCACGACAAUCUCCCGCCAGCAGGGCGUUCGGUUCUCCGCUGAAAGGUGCUUCGUUCUCUGGAGCCAUGAGCCGCCAUCUCAGCACCGGAGGGACUUUAACGUGCCUUAUUCCUAUCGUAUCAUUAGUAUUACUGCACACACAUACUGGCCCGACGAACGCAGCAUAGGUGCUGGGUCAACGUUCACCGGUCUGACGUCGGAGACACGCUCGAGCCGCCACACGCUGGGAGAGGGAUUAGAGAAGGAACACAAGCUCUUGCAUAUAUUAUUUCUGUACAUAAGGAGGGACAGUAAACACGUAUGAUCAUGCUACACCUUUUCUAACGCAGCCCAGAGGAUUAUCUCAGCUGACGCAUCUUUACUUUUGUAUUUAUUCAGCUGCUGCGGUCGGACUAACUGCGUGUUCUGUGACGGUUCUCUGGGGAACCCGGCCCUACGCCGUCUGUCUCUGGUUCCUGAGGCGUCCCAACGCCUCUGGACCAGACCAGACCUGGUUAGGUUUAGACUAGAGUCUACGGGACCAGACCCUUAAGUCUGGUUUGGUGCUAGAGUGUUCUGGACUAGACCAGACCUGGUUUGGACUAGAGUCUUCUGGACCAGACCAGACCUGGUUAGGUUUAGACUAGAGUGUUCUGGACCAGACCAGACCUGGUUCGGUUUAGACUAGAGUCUUCUGGACCAGACCAGACCUGAUUUGGUUUAGACUAGUCUUCUGGACCAGACCAGAACUGGUUUGGUUUAGACCAGAGUCUUCUGGACCAGACCAGACCUGGUUUGGUUUAGACCAGAGUCUUCUGGACCAGACCAGACCUGGUUUGGUUUAGACUAGAGUCUUAUGGACCAGACCCUUAAGUCUUGUUUGGUGCUAGCGUGUUCUGGACCAGACCAGACCUGGUGUGGGUUUGAUGAACGCCCACCACUUGUGAUGUGAUGACUGCUCUUGUUUCGACGUUGCAUAUAUAUAUAUAUACAUAACUGUAUGUACAUCUAUGUAGAUGCACAACCUGGGUGAAGGACUAUUGUAUAACACUGCAGCUGUUGUUCUCUGUUCCACCUGCAGGGGCGCUAAAAGCUCUCAAGAUUCCUCUACUGUAAUUCACACUACAUCUUACAACCUGUUUGUGGCGGUACAGAUCUGAGCACAGCCUUGAGUAACAACACUUACGUGAACAUGAUGAUGAAUGCACUUUUACGCCAUUGAAAACGCUGACAGAUUGUGUGUUACGGUCAGAAAAUACCCCUUCAGUUGGCUUUUGGUUUCUGUGGAUGAUGUGACGAGGGGCGAAGAGAAGGAGGAGGUACUGAAGGACUGGAGGUUUAGAGGAUCAUUUAAAAUGGCCACCAAUAAACCAAAUAUGUCAACUGAUUCAGACUACUGACUUCUUGGUUACCGGCAACAGAUCUGAGUCAAAGUAAUAUGGUUCAGAUGAAACCCUGUCUUCCUACAUCUUCUUCAUUCAUUCAUUCAUUCAUUCAUUCAUUCAUUCAUUCAUUCAUUCAAUGUUUACUUUAUCUUCUUCUAUUGGUCUAUUAAUAAUUGAUGCUCCC
ensembl:lncRNA